rnacentral:tRNA from 1 species
GCCCGCUUAGCUCAGUGGUUUAGAGCGUGUGGCUUUUACACAGUAGAAACCUCAAGGUCGCGAGUUCGACCCUCGCAGUGGGCU